rnacentral:rRNA from 1 species
AUCUACAGCCAUGCCACUCAUGUCUAAUCUUGGAAGCUAAGCAGGGUCAGGCCUGGUUAGUACUUGGAUGGGAGACCACCUAGGAAGACCAGUUGCUGUAGGUG